rnacentral:lncRNA from 1 species
GAGGUGGUGCAAUUAGUCUGUCAUACUGUUCUGUGUUCACAGCAAGCUCUCAGAGCACUGAGAGCUCCAAUAGCCCAGAUUCCAAUAAAAUAGAAGGAAAAUGAGAAAUAAAAUGAGCUGAGAAGAUGAGGAAAGCAAAACCUAUACCCUGCUCAACUCUAGCACUGCAGACAUGGGAACAUUCAGAAAGUCAUAUUACACCUGCUUCUUCAUCAAAACAAAACAAUAACAACAAAAAGCCAAAACCGAAAAGAUAGCAGUGGAUAGAAAAAAACGAGCACAUGGCUUUCUGACCACCUCUUGUUGCCAUCCAUGAGUUGAGAGGAUGUACUCUGUAAGCUCUGCAGAAUGAAGGAAAGGUAUUUCCAGGCAAACACGGUGACCAGUUUGCUAAGAACUGUAUGCCCUGAAAAUGAAAAUUCACUCCUAAAUGCUACAGAAUGUGAGAUAUUCUGACCAGUAUAUAUUAUGGGAAGAUUUGUUCAUUAGAAAAAAAUAUUUUCAGUGACAAAAAUGAGAACAGGUAAUUUUGAACUAUAUUAUUGUGCAAAAUUACUUUUUACUCUUUUACUCUUUUUACUAAUUUACUUCGAAGUUCUUGGACAAGUAAAAUGAAAUAAGUCAUAUUACUUCUGCUUACAGAGAUGGGAAGAAGGAAACCCAAUUUCUACUCUCAACCCAAAGAACUGGAU